AUUCAAAAAGCAGUGCAAUUAGUGGGUAAACUUUCCUCUGCUACAUGAUUCACAGGUUCACCAACAAUAUGUGUGAUCAAAAUUCAACAAUAACCAGCCAUGUCCAGCCUCGUUCUCGUCUUCUGCCUCCGGAUUUGGACUGCUCCGCCUUCAGCCCCACGGCCUGCUUUGCUUUGCCAUUCCAAGCCCACCUCAGCCAUCAUUUCACUCAAGCCUUCAGCCCCCAUCUUCAAACUACAAUGAACUGCCAUUAACCAUUCCCAGUUUCCUGGUUGUGUUUGUAUUUGGGUCCUAAGUUAAACUGUUGUUCUGUUGUUGCUCACUACUGUUUUUAAUAUUUGUUCAGCCCCUUGUGAUAUUGGGCUAUAAUAAUCUUUGACCUCA